AACGCACAUUGCGCCCGCCAGUAUCCUGGCGGGCAUGCCUGUUCGAGCGUCAUUUCAACCCUCAAGCCCCUGCGGCUUGGUGUUGGAGGCCUGCGCACCGCAGCCUCCCAAAGACAGCGGCGGACGUGCACUGGCACCGAACGUAGUAGACUAUCUCUCGUUCGCGGUCCAGGGCGCGCUUCCUGCCGGUAAACCCCCAUCUUUUACAUGGUUGACCUCGGAUCAGGUAGGAAUACCCGCUGAACUUAA
rnacentral:misc_RNA from 1 species